rnacentral:lncRNA from 1 species
GCCGUUUUGGAUGACGAGUGAAAUAUUUUAUUGCCUAAGCUCAAAACUCUUUAAUAUGUUCCUCUGAACAAGAAGUAGUCUGACUUAAAAACAAACCACAGUUUAAAACUAGGGAGAGAACAAGAGCUCUAGAGAAAAGCAAACAUUUUUGGCAUAUUUUAUGUUAGCCAAUAGAGGUAAAGUAGGUGAAUUGACAAAGCGGUGACUAUUAAAGCAUCUUCUCCCCGCCCCCUGGGGCAGUAAAUAUCAGACACACAGCUCAAGUAGACUCGUUUAAAGUGACACCAAACAACAAGCUGCCUAGGAUUCCCCCAUGUACCGGCCACCCUGUGUCUGUCUCAGUCUUUUUUUCCGAUCAUCUCCUGGAGCUCUACCCUGACAGAGGCUGAUGUCCUGCAAAGAUUUAUGGAAUGAAAAGGGCAGCUGAGAGCCUUUUUCCCUUGGCAUCCGCACAGCUGAGAGUCCUCCAUCUCCAGUAUUCCACUAUUAAAACAGAAAACUACAGUACCUUGAUGAGCUGUGAGGGAAUCAAUAUGUUUACAUGUUUCGGAUCCUGCACUGGUUAAGAUUUUAUGUUCUUCUUAAAUGAAUUGUGUUCUGAAGAAAUCUGGGAAUGUCUAAUUUGCUACCAACUCACGACCAUCACAAGAGGCCACAUGAAAUAUCCUCUUAGAUGGACCCUGGUGGCUCUGUAUGUGGACUUUUCUGAAAUACAGCCGAAGAAUGAGAUUGCUUCGUGACAGGACGUGAACUCUCUUGGUUUUUCCAGACGCUGCCUGAACGCUCUGAGGCUGCGCAGUCGCGCCUUUCCUUUGGUCUCGGCUCUUUGCCGUCUACAGUGCGGGCGUCCUGGGGUGGGAAGUGGGGGAGUCACCCAAGUGAUUUUUUCGAACCUAAGAACUUAGAGAUAGUAAAAGGUAAGUCAGGAUCUUAAGGUUGUGAUUCAAGAAAACCUUGAAGGUAUUUUUCUGUGCCCCCAAACAAUGUAUAUGGAAUUUACUUACUUAGUAAAGAGAUCUCCAAUGAUAUUUUACAAACUAAAAGCAAUAAUGGAUUUUUUAUGAGUGUAAAUGAGAGGUCUGUUCGGUCCUAAGAAGAAGUGUUCAGAAAAUAUGAUGACUACGGCUUGAUUAGGGCAGUUGUGUGGUCUUGAAUGACUCCAGGCGCUCGUGUGGAGAUUUUUGCUGUUGGGAAAACAGACUUCAAAAGUCAACUCACAAAUCUAAAAAAUUUAGAGGGGAGAAAAUAUAUUGGUGAGGAAAUUGCCAUGAGAAAUUGAGAUCUUUGAGAAUAGCAAGAAAAAAUAAUCUUGUGUGCUUAAUACAUUUUGAGAACUUAUUACACAGCAAGUACUCUAAGCAAUGUAGUAUAAACACUACUAAUCAGCGUUAAUCCUAUGAAGUAGAUACUGCUUUUAUCAUCCCUUUUAAAAGAUGAAAACAUGAAGGCUUACAAAAUUUAAAGAAUUUGCCCA